rnacentral:rRNA from 1 species
UACGGAGGAUGCAAGCGUUAUCCAGAUUUAUUGGGUUUAAAGGGUGCGCAGGUUGUUUGAUAAGUCAGUGGUGAAAGUCUGUCGCUUAACGGUAGGAUUGCCAUUGAUACUGUUGGACUUGAAUAUGGAUGAGGUAGGCGGAAUGUGUAGUGUAGCGGUGAAAUGCAUAGAUAUUACACAGAACACCGAUUGCGAAGGCAGCUUGCUGGGCCAUUACUGACGCUGAUGCACGAAAGCGUGGGGAU